AGUACAGUAGCGAACGGGUGAGUAACGCGUGAGAAUCUACCUUUUAAUGGGGGAUACCUUCUGGAAACGGAAGUUAAUACCGCAUAAGCCCUGAGGGGGAAAGACGGCCUCUUUGCUGUCGUUAAAAGAUGAGCUUGCGUACUAUUAGCUAGUUGGUAGGGUAAAGGCCUACCAAGGCUUAGAUGGUUAGCCGACCUGAGAGGGUGACCGGCCACAUUGGGACUGAGAUACGGCCCAGACUCCUACGGGAGGCAGCAGUGGGGAAUAUUGCACAAUGGGCGCAAGCCUGAUGCAGCGACGUCGCGUGGAGGAUGAAGGUUUUCGGAUCGUAAACUCCUGUUAAGUGGGAAGAAAGACUGUGCGUUAAUAGCGUAUGGGGAUGACGGUACCACUAGAGAAAGCACCGGCAAACUUCGUGCCAGCAGCCGCGGUAAUACGAGGGGUGCGAGCGUUAUUCGGAUUUACUGGGCGUAAAGGGCGCGUAGGCGGCUUUUUAAGUCACUUGUUAAAGACCACUUAAAUCGGUGGG
rnacentral:rRNA from 1 species